UACAGAGGUCUCAAGCGUUGUUCGGAUUCAUUGGGCGUAAAGGGUGUGUAGGUGGCGCCGUAAGUCGGGUGUGAAAUUUCGGAGCUUAACUCCGAAACUGCAUUCGAUACUGCCGUGCUUGAGGACUGGAGAGGAGACUGGAAUUACGGUGUAGCGGUGAAAUGCGUAGAUAUCGUAAGGAAGACCAGUGGCGAAGGCGGGUCUCUGGACAGUUCCUGACGCUGAGGCACGAAGGCCAGGGGGAGCAAACGGG
rnacentral:rRNA from 1 species